rnacentral:rRNA from 1 species
CUGCUGCCUUCCGUAGGAGUUUGGGCCGUGUCUCAGUCCCAAUGUGGCCGGUCACCCUCUCAGGUCGGCUACUGAUCGUCGCCUUGGUAGGCCGUUACCCCACCAACCAGCUAAUCAGACGCGGGCCCAUCUUACACCACCGGAGUUUUUCACACUGUCUCAUGCGAGACCGUGCGCUUAUGCGGUAUUAGCAGCCGUUUCCAGCUGUUGUCCCCCUGUGUAAGGCAGGUUGCCCACGCGUUACUCACCCGUCCGCCA